GAUGAACGCUAGCUACAGGCUUAACACAUGCAAGUCGAGGGGCAGCAUUUUAGUUUGCUUGCAAACUAAAGAUGGCGACCGGCGCACGGGUGAGUAACACGUAUCCAACCUGCCGAUAACUCGGGGAUAGCCUUUCGAAAGAAAGAUUAAUAUCCGAUAGCAUAUCGAUUCCGCAUGGGAUUGAUAUUAAAGAAUUUCGGUUAUCGAUGGGGAUGCGUUCCAUUAGUUUGUUGGCGGGGUAACGGCCCACCAAGACUACGAUGGAUAGGGGUUCUGAGAGGAAGGUCCCCCACAUUGGAACUGAGACACGGUCCAAACUCCUACGGGAGGCAGCAGUGAGGAAUAUUGGUCAAUGGACGAGAGUCUGAACCAGCCAAGUAGCGUGAAGGAUGACUGCCCUAUGGGUUGUAAAUUUCUUUUAUAUGGGAAUAAAGUAUUCCACGUGUGGGAUUUUGUAUGUACCAUAUGAAUAAGGAUCGGCUAACUCCGUGCCAGCAGCCGCGGUAAUACGGAGGAUCCGAGCGUUAUCCGGAUUUAUUGGGUUUAAAGGGAGCGUAGGUGGAUUGUUAAGUCAGUUGUGAAAGUUUGCGGCUCAACCGUAAAAUUGCAGUUGAAACUGGCAGUCUUGAGUACAGUAGAGGUGGGCGGAAUUCGUGGUGUAGCGGUGAAAUGCUUAGAUAUCACGAAGAACUCCGAUUGCGAAGGCAGCUCACUAGACUGCAACUGACACUGAUGCUCGAAAGUGUGGGUAUCAAACAGG
rnacentral:rRNA from 1 species